rnacentral:rRNA from 1 species
UACGGAGGGUGCAAGCGUUUAUCCGGAUUCACUGGGUUUAAAGGGUGCGUAGGAGGGCAGAUAAGUCAGUGGUGAAAAUCUCCGGGCUUAACUCGGAAACUGCCGUUGAUACUAUCUGUCUUGAAUAUUGUGGAGGUGAGCGGAAUAUGUCAUGUAGCGGUGAAAUGCUUAGAUAUGACAUAGAACACCGAUUGCGAAGGCAGCUCGCUACACAUAUAUUGACUCUGGGGCACGAAAGCGUGGGGAUCAAACAGG